CCUAGUUGAUCCUGCCAGUAGUCAUAUGCUUGUCUCAAAGAUUAAGCCAUGCAUGUGUAAGUAUGAAAUAAUUCAGACUGUGAAACUAUGAAUGGCUCAUUAAAUCAGUUACAGUUUGUUUGGUCAACUACUCGGAUAGCCGUAGUAAUUCUAAAGCUAAUACGUGCAACAAGCCUCAACUUCUGGAAGGGAUGCAUUUAUUAGAUAAAAGGUCAAUGUGGGCUUUACCAAUUGCUCUAAUGAUUGAUGAUAGCUCAACGGAUCACAUGGGCUUUAUGCUGGUGAUGCAUCAUUCAAAUUUUUGCCUUAUCAACUUUCGAUGGUAGGAUAGUGGCCUACUAUAGUGGUGAUUGGUGAUAGAGAAUUAGGGUUUGAUUUUAAAGAGGGAGCUUGAGAAAUUGCUACCACAUCCAAGGAAAGCAACAAGCACACAAAUUUCCUAAUCUUGACAUAAGGAGGUAGUGAUAAUAAAUAACAAUAUCAGGCUCUAUCAGUCUAGCAAUUAGAAUGAGUACAGUCUAAAUCCCUUAAUAAAGAUCCAUUGAAGGGCAAGUCUAGUGCUAGUAGCUACUGCACUUCUAGCUCUAAUAGUGUAUAUUUAAGAUGUUGCAAUUAAAAAGCUUGAGGUUGGAACUAAGGUCAGCUCAUCUGGUUUACCUCAUAAUGAGCAUCAGUUUACUCGUCCCUAAAUUUGAGAAUGCCUUGCUAGCCUUAGCUAGCCAUGUCAUUCCUUCAGCACUAUUAAUUUUGAAGAAAUUAAAGUACUCAAAGUAGCUUACACUUAUAUACAUUAACAUGGGAUAACAUCAUAGGAUUUUAGUUCGAUUGUGAUGGCCAUUGGGAUUGGAGUAAUGAUUAACAGGGACUGUCGGGGGCUUUCAUAUUUCAUAGUCAAAGGUUAUUGGAUUUAUGAAAGAUGAACAACUACAAAAGCAUUUGCUAAGGAUGUUUUCAUUAAUCAAGAAUGAAAGUUGGGGGCUUGAAGAUGAUUAGAUGUUGUCUUAGUCUCAACUAUAAAUGUUGCUGACUAGGGAUUAGUGGAUGUUAAUUUUAGGACUCCCCUGGCACCUUAUAAGAAAUCAAAGUCUUUGGGCUUUGGGGAAGUAUGGUUGCAAGGCUGAAACAUACAAGAAUUAAUGGAAAGGCACCAUCAAGAGUGGAGCCUAUAGCUUAAUUCGACUCAACACGGGGAAACUUACCAAGUCCAAACAUAGUUAAGAUUGAUAGACUAAGAGCUCUUUCUUGAUACUAUGGGUGGUGGUGCAUGGCUAUUCUUAGUUAGCUGAGUGAUUUGUCUAGUUAUUUUCACUAACGAACAAGACCUCAACCUGCUAGCUAGCUAUGCAGAGGUGAUCUUUUGUGGCUAGCUUCUUAGAGGGACUAUGGCCACUUAGGCUAAGGAAGUUUAAGGCAAUAAUAGGUUUGUGAUGCCCUUAAAUGUUUUGGCCUACACACAUGCUACACUGAUGCAUUCAACAAAUCUACAGCUUUGGUUGAUAAGCCUGGGUAAUCUUUGAAAUGUCAUCGCAAUGAGGAUAGAUCAUUGCAAUUAUUGGUGCUCAAUGAGGAAUUCAUAGUAAGUGUGCGUCAUCAACAUGCGUUGACUAUGUCCCCACCCUUUGUACACACCACCCAUCACUUCAACCGAUUGAAUGGUCUAGUGAAGUGUUCGAAUCAUGGCAACAUGGAUGGUUUACUACCCGAAAUGUCACGAAAAGUCCACUGAAUGUUAUCAUUUAAAAGAAGAAGAAAUCGUAACAAGGUUUCCAUAGAUGAACCUAUGGAAG
rnacentral:rRNA from 1 species